GUUGAAUGAACGUGACUGGAAACCACUCUAAAGUCUUUUUAAAAUUGAUUUAAUUUCAGGUAUUCAUGAAGAUUCUUAGGCCCCACUGGUUUUGCUUGUGUUUUAGAAUAUUUAAGAAUAAGUCUGUGCUUAAGAGCAAUUUUGAGCCACGGGCAGAGUGAAUGAAGACUGCAGUGUGGAACCCCCUUUCAAGACGUGAAACCAAGGAUUCUGCUUCAUUUUGACUGAAGGUGGUUUGAACAAAAGUGGGAGUUAGUAUAAAAACGAGAUAGAUGGAUUGUUUGAAUACAUUAGACAAACUCCAGCAGAGAAAGAUGAAGCACCACUGUUGUCAACACUGCCACUCUGCAGAUCUGCAGAGAUCAUUGCCAAUUGAGUGGGAAGGAUCCUGCCAGAAUCUGAGACACAGGAGCAUAGACUUGGAAGUCAUAAAAUUCUGAAGAAGCUACUCACUCUAAACUGCUCAAGUUUCCACAAGCACCAGGAAUAUUUAAAAAAUUUCACUGUGUUACAGGUAAUUAGCUGUUAUAAUUGAUGAUGUUGAAUGGCACAGACAUGAGAGACAUAAUCACACCUUGUAAAGAAAGAAUGGAACACAAGGAAGUCGGUAACAGUUUGGUGUGAAAGGCUGAUAAGGACUCUUAGCCAGUUCAGAGACACGGUUACCAGACGUACAGUUCCGGAUGUCAGGAUUUCCUAUGAUAUGCUACUUCCGGUCAGG
rnacentral:lncRNA from 1 species